rnacentral:rRNA from 1 species
UACGUAGGGGGCAAGCGUUAUCCGGAUUUACUGGGUGUAAAGGGAGCGUAGACGGUGCGGCAAGUCAGAUGUGGAAGCCCCAGGCUCAGCUUGGGGAGCGCAUUUGAAACUGUCGAACUAGAGUGCUGGAGGGGUGGGCGGAAUUCCCGGUGUAGCGGUGAAAUGCGUAGAUAUCGGGGAGAACACCGGCGGCGAAGGCGGCCCACUGGACAGCAACUGACGUUGAGGCUCGAGAGCGUGGGGAGCAAAC